rnacentral:lncRNA from 1 species
GUUCAUUCAGGAUCUGAACUCCUGUCCUUACUCUUUCACAGGAAGCGCUUAGACCACUCUGCUACUUUCUGGACCAGAUGCUGGUACUUGGCCAUCCUUCUAAAAAAAAGUAAAAGUUAAGACUGUUUAUUCUGGAAUGGAUAGAGCAGUGUUAUCCAUGACACUACUGUUGUCUAGUUUCUGAACACAGGUGAGUAUAAUUUACUGAAAAAAAAAAGUAUUGAUUGUACUUUGUACAAACCUCUAAAAUACUAAACUGCAUUAAAGAAAGCUGAUACAGAAGAUCAAGUCCCUUCUCAUUCAGUUUCUGUGGAGCAUCUAGAAAAAGCAAAUUCCCAAACACAAGCAGAUGCUGGUUACCUUGGGUUGGAGCUGGAAGUAAGAGUGAUUGCUCAUAUUGAGAUAGUUCUGUUGGUGGUGGAGUGUUCAGAGUCUGGAUUGUAGAAGAGUUCUCAGAGCUCUAUGGAUCCAUUAACAACAUUACCUUGUAUAUUUAAGAUGAAUGGAUACUUUAUUAGUCUCAUUUUGUGUGGGAGUGAUGUGUACUAGGACCUGUUCACCAGUUAGCUUCCAUUGUAAAAUUAGAGGAAUAUUUUCAUGUAAAAAUUCAGACACCCUGGGCUAAAACUAGCUUAUUAAAAUGCCCAGGUAGAUUCAUAGCAUUUGGGAUGUCCUAGUU